CGAGUGGCGGACGGGUAAGUAAUGUCUGGGAAACUGCCCGAUGGAGGGGGAUAACUACUGGAAACGGUAGCUAAUACCGCAUAACGUCGCAAGACCAAAGAGGGGAACCUUCGGGCCUCUUGCCAUCGGAUGUGCCCAGAUGGGAUUAGCUAGUAGGUGGGGUAACGGCUCACCUAGGCGACGAUCCCUAGCUGGUCUGAGAGGAUGACCAGCCACACUGGAACUGAGACACGGUCCAG
rnacentral:rRNA from 1 species